AUUGAACGCUGGCGGCAUGCCUUACACAUGCAAGUCGAACGGCAGCACGGGUGCUUGCCCCUGGUGGCGAGUGGCGAACGGGUGAGUAAUACAUCGGAACAUGUCCUGUAGUGGGGGAUAGCCCGGCGAAAGCCGGAUUAAUACCGCAUACGAUCUACGGAUGAAAGCGGGGGCCCUUCGGGCCUCGCGCUAUAGGGUUGGCCGAUGGCUGAUUCGCUAGUUGGUGGGGUAAAGGCCUACCAAGGCGACGAUCAGUAGCUGGUCUGAGAGGACGACCAGCCACACUGGGACUGAGACACGGCCCAGACUCCUACGGGAGGCAGCAGUGGGGAAUUUUGGACAAUGGGCGAAAGCCUGAUCCAGCAAUGCCGCGUGUGUGAAGAAGGCCUUCGGGUUGUAAAGCACUUUUGUCCGGAAAGAAAUCCUUGGCCCUAAUACGGUCGGGGGAUGACGGUACCGGAAGAAUAAGCACCGGCUAACUACGUG
rnacentral:rRNA from 1 species